UCUCUGGAUUCCAGAAGGCAUGAGGACCCAGAUGCUAUACAGUGGGAAAACCAGCCUGGCAACAUAAGCUCACAAGCUAUCAGAAAGUUGUAUGGCAACCACCUCCGGCGCCAAAUAGAACUGGCAGACAUAGACAUUCAGUACAAGAAGAAAAAGAUGGAAAAUCUUGCACUGGAGUCUGAAAUAAAAGAGGACAAUUAGGAAACUGGACCUUGAAAUAAAAAAACUUGAGAGGGAGCUCCAAGAAGAUGACACAGCUCAAAAUAAAAAUUAGGUAUAUUCUCGUAAAGUCAAGUGAGCCAUGACAUAUGAGCUCUUAUUGUGAGCACACAGGACGGUGGCAUCUUUCUAAGGUUUUUUUUAUUUUCCCAGCAAUCAGUACAACCAAGUCAUAGUUAUAAGGCAUCGCCCUCUUUUGCCCACCCCCCCAGCACCAGGUGUGGCCACUAGCCUAUAUGAAGGCCCAAAAUUGUGUGUUCCUUUCUGCUCUGACAAUGGCAUGCCCAUUCGUGCGAGAUGUGGUGGAUGAAGAAGCACUUGUGCUGAGGAGAGCCUUCAGGCGAGAAAGGGUCUUCAGGGACCGGUUGGACCCACUGGCCUUCCCUGAUGACCAUCUAUAUGAAAGAUACAGGUUUUCUGCAGAUGGCAUCAGGUAUCUAUGCAGACUACUGGGUCCCAGGAUUAAGCACCGCACUGCACGGAGCCAUGCACUGAGUGUGGAGCAAAUGGUUUGUGUGGCCUUGCGCUUUUUUGCUAGUGGAGCCUUCCUGUACUCAGUGGGGGAUGCAGAACAGCCGAACAAGGCCACAAUUUGCCACACAAUAAGGAGUGUGUGUCUGGCUAUCAAAGCAUUAGCAGAUGUCUUCAUCUCCUUCCCUGGCCACAGAAGACUCUGUGACAUCAAAGAGGAGUUCUAUAGGAUUGCAGGUAAGAGGAUCUACAAAUUACAGGACAACUGUUAACACAUAGUAGGAUACUCAUUACUUUGUGUGACAGGUUUCCCCAAUGUCA